UACGGGGGGAGCAAACGUUGUUCGGAAUCACUGGGCGUAAAGGGCGUGUAGGCGGCUGAAUAAGUGGGAUGUUAAAUCCCGCGGCUCAACCGGGGACCUGCAUCUCAUACUGUUCAGCUCGAGCACAUCAGAGGAGACUGGAAUUCCCGGUGUAGCGGUGAAAUGCGUAGAUAUCUGGAGGAACACCGGUGGCGAAGGCGGCAUCCUGGACCAGCAUUGACGCUGAGGCGCGAAAGCCAGGGGAGCAAACGGG
rnacentral:rRNA from 1 species